UACUGAUAUUGAAGUACCGUAAUGAUUUUGAAGUACUGUACUGCAUCUUACAUCAUGCGUUUUGUUUUUUACAAAGAUGUAUUCACAGUCCUGGGGACUUUUUAGUAGCUUCCUUAUGCUUACUCAGCCAGACAGUGUCCUUGUGAGGGGGAACUAGCUACUGUGUGUGUGUGUGUGUGUGUGUGUGUGUGUGUGUGUGUGUGUGUGUGUGUGUGUGUGUGUGUGUGUGUGUGUGUGUGUGUGUGUGUGUGUGUAUGAUGAUGGUGUGUGUUUGACCUAAAUACCACUGAAGAAUGAUCCAGUGUGGUUUCAGCUCAAAUCAUUUGUAUCUAGUGAACACAAGCCCUGUCUGCUGCUAGCUGUCUGUCUGUCUGUCUGUCUGGAGAGAAAGACAGAGAGAGAGACAGAGAGAGAGAGACAGAGAGAGAGACAGAGAGAGAGAGACAGAGAGAGAGACAGAGAGAGAGACAGAGAGAGAGACAGAGAGAGAGAGAGAGAGAGAGAGAGACAGAUAAAGAGAGAGAGAGACAGAGAGAAAGAGAGACAGAGAGACAGAGAGAGAGACAGAGAGAGAGACAGAGAGAGAGAGAGAGACAGAGAGAGACAGACAGAGAGAGAGAGACAGAGAGACAGAGAGAGAGACAGAGAGAGAGACAGAGAGAGAGAGACAGAGACAGAGAGACAGAGAGUUGGCUUUAACAUUUUAAUAGCGUUUUGAGUUACAGGAGGUUGGUGGCACCUUAAUUAGGGAGGACGGGCUCGUGGAAAUGGCUGGAGCAGAAACAGUUGGAAUGGUAUCAAAUACAUCAAACAUGGUUUCCAUGUGCUUGAUGCCAUUCCAUUCGCUCCGUUCCAGACAUUAUUAGGAGGUCGCCUCCACUGGUGAGAAUAGCUGUAUAGCAUUGUGAAUAUAGUUCACCCAGGUGAGGUAUAUAACUGGUGGAGGAGUAUAGUUCAUCCAGGUGAGGUAUAUAACUGGUGGGGGAGUAUAGUUCAUCCAGGUGAGGUGGAGGAGUAUAGUUCAUCCAGGUGAGGUAUAUAACUGGUGGAGGAGUAUAGUUCACCCAGGUGAGGUAUAUAACUGGUGGGGGAGUAUAGUUCAUCCAGGUGAGGUGGAGAAGUAUAGUUCAUCCAGGUGAGGUAUAAAACUGGUGGAGGAGUAUAGUUCACCCAGGUGAGGUGGAGGAGUAUAGUUCAUCGAGGUGAGGUGGGGGAGUAUAGUUCAUCCAGGUGAGGUAUAUAACUGGUGGGGGAGUAUAGUUCACCCAGGUGAGGUGGAGGAGUAUAGUUCAUCCAGGUGAGGUAUAUAACUGGUGGAGGAGUAUAGUUCAUCCAGGUGAGGUAUAUAACUGGUGGAGGAGUAUAGUUCAUCCAGGUGAGGUGGGGGAGUAUAGUUCAUCCAGGUGAGGUAUAUAACUGGUGGAGGAGUAUAGUUCAUCCAGGUGAGGUGGGGGAGUAUAGUUCAUCCAGGUGAGGUAUAUAACUGGUGGAGGAGUAUAGUUCAUCCAGGUGAGGUAUAUAACUGGUGGAGGAGUAUAGUUCAUCCAGGUGAGGUGGGGGAGUAUAGUUCAUCCAGGUGAGGUAUAUAACUGGUGGGGGAGUAUAGUUCAUCCAGGUGAGGUGGAGGAGUAUAGUUCAUCCAGGUGAGGUAUAUAACUGGUGGAGGAGUAUAGUUCAUCCAGGUGAGGUGGGGGAGUAUAGUUCAUCCAGGUGAGGUAUAUAACUGGUGUGUUGUGUAUGGUGUCUAUUAUAUCCUCUAUAGCAGGGCUUUGCCUGAUGGAAUAGCUCAGAUUCAUUAGACAAGCAGAAUAACUGUUAUUCCUUGACAAGGCAUGACAACCAUAUCAGACCAUUGGAGUUUGUAGUCAGAGCUAUUUCAGUAGAAGUUAUUUCAGUAGAAGCUAUUUCAGUAGAAGGUAUUUCAGUAGAAGGUAUUUCAGUAGAAGCUAUUUCAGUAGAAGUUAUUUCAGUAGAAGCUAUUGCAGUAGAAGCUAUUUCAGUAGAAGGUAUUUCCGUAGAAGGUAUUUCAGUAGAAGCUAUUUCAGUAGAAGGUAUUUCAGUAGAAGCUAUUUCAGUAGAAGGUAUUUCAGUAGAAGGUAUUUCAGGAGAAGCUAUUUCAGUAGAAGGUAUUUCAGUAGAAGGCAUUUCAGAAGAAGGUAUUUCAGUAGUUAAAGUACUAGAUGUAUUUCAUUGAGGUAGUUUGCAUGUUGCAUCAAAUCUUUUCAUGACUCUGUAAGCAGUGGUCAGUAUAAUAUUCUUGGGUUCACUUUACUGUGCUGUGAAAAUCUCUCCAUUUUAUUUUAGGCUGCAUCUAUUUGUAGAGCUAUUGUAGUAGAAAAUGUCUCUGUUUUGAUCCGUGUGUUUUCUGUUGUAGUUGAACUCAGCUCGUAUCAGAUUGCCUGGAACUGUGACGGUUGGUGAGGUGUUAAGGUGGACUGGAGGAAGUGAUCUGUAUCAGACUAUUAAGGUGGACUGGAGGAGUUUAACUGUGAGCGUUGGUGAGGUGUUAAGGUGGCCUGGAGGACGUGGUCUGUAUCAGACUAUUAAGGUGGACUGGAGGAGUUGUAACAAACAGUUGUUGGCAUGCUAACCUGUACAACAGGUCAAUUCAACUGGUUGAAUACAUAUUGAACUCUAUGAAUAACUUUUACAUGAGUUGGGGUCAUUUACCUUCUAGUUCCCUCACUUUAUUACCUGCUGCUUUUGUCCUUUUGUAGUUAUCAAGAAGUCCAUUCCAUUUCAAUUCAUCAUUCAAAGUCUAGAUAUAAAGUGAUAAGAGAAACCAGAGAGAUAGUAAGAGAGAACAAAGAGACAACAAAGAGAUAGAAAGAGAGAUAGUAAGAGAGAACAAAGAGACAACAAAGAGAUAGAAAGAGAGAUAGUAAGAGAGAACAGAGAGAGUUAGCGAGAGAGAGAAAAUAGAGAGAUACAAAGAGAGAUACAAAGAGAAAUACAAAGAGAAAUACAAAGAGAGAACAGAGAGAGUUAGCGAGAGAGAGAAAAUAGAGAGAUAGCCCAGCCAACCAGAGCCAUCUACCUCUAGUAGCCCAGCCAACCAGAGCCAUCUACCUCUAGUAGCCCAGCCAACCAGAGCCAUCUACCUCUAGUAGCCCAGCCAACCAGAGCCAUCUACCACUAGUAGCCCAGCCAACCAGACCCAUCUACCUCUAGUAGCCCAGCCAACCAGAGCCAUCUACCACUAGUAGCCCAGCCAACCAGACCCAUCUACCUCUAGUAGCCCAGCCAACCAGAGCCAUCUACCUCUAGUAGCCCAGCCAACCAGAGCCAUCUACCUCUAGUAGCCCAGCCAACCAGAGCCAUCUACCUCUAGUAGCCCAGCCAACCAGAGCCAUCUACCUCUAGUCUCCCAGCCAACCAGACCCAUCUACCUCUAGUAACCCAGCCAACCAGACCCAUCUACCUCUAGUAGCCCAGCCAACCAGACCCAUCUACCUCUAGUAGCCCAGCCAACCAGACCCAUCUACCUCUAGUAGCCCAGCCAACCUACAUCAGACCAGUAUUCUGCAGCAGGCCCUACCGUACUACCCACCUACAUCAGACCAGUAUUCUGCAGCAGGCCCUACCGUACUACCCACCUACAUCAGACCAGUAUUCUGCAG
rnacentral:lncRNA from 1 species